ACUCUUAACAUCAAGGUACAAAACUAAGCGUUUCCCCGGUGUUACAUAACAGAGCAUGACUCCCCUAACUAAACCAUAAAUGAAAGAUUAGCUCCUCCAACUAACCCUCACGAGAAGCUCCACUAUCCUCGGUACCUGAGCGAUGUCUCAUAGAACAUCAAUCCAACAGAAGGGUGAGAACUCAUAUCAUAUGAAUAAGCAUAAUAAUAAAUAAUGUAAAAGCUUAUAUGUGUUCCACCUAAAUUCCUCACACUUCACUAACAAAUAAUAAAUUAUGUAAUUUAAUAUAAUCAAUCUACUUCACAUAUAUGAUAAUACUCCAUAAUUAACAGCUCAGAUAAAGAAAAUAUUAUUGUCUCCAAUUACCACAACAUCAAAUCUCAAAAAAUAUCACAAUUAUCAUUAAUUAGCAUCAACAACUCCCUAACAUAUAUGACUCAAGUGAGACCCGUGCAAAUGUCUUUGGUACCAAAGUUGUUAUCCUUAGCGGUAUCACUCCGUCCACUCCAGACAGAUAACCACCAAUAAAGCCAUCGCUCUAGG
rnacentral:lncRNA from 1 species